rnacentral:lncRNA from 1 species
AGAAGCCGCGGAUUGAAUAGCAGCAACGUGGGGAAUAUAGGUCAACUGCGGCGGUGUAGAUGGCAAGGCUGCUGACGAACGGAGUUGAGUGCUUAGAUGAGCGAUCAUUUCCUGGAUUUGAGGGGUGGUGUAAGUGGCAGCGGCGGCGGCUGGCAGAGAAUACCCGGAAUCAAAACCGGGUUGAGCAAUCGGAGAAGACGAUGAACUUUUGGCCACAUGCCCUACCCGUCUCGCCUGAGCCAUAUUAUUUUGGAAUGAACUUUUAUUCUUGAUUGGGUAACCGGGCGGGUACCUGUAGAGUUUAUAACACCGAUCCAUGGUGUGACCCGUCAACCCACAAUAGCUGCAAACAGGUUGGUUCCUAGGUCGUCCCUGACCUCCAGAAGCUCCCCCAAACUUAGCUCCAGCGCCGCCAGCGAAAACCAUUGCCUCGCCGCGAUUUGUACUACCAUUGAUUCCGAUGCCUCGUUGUCGCUCUUCCUGAGUGACCAAAUUGAAUACCUUUAGGACUGGAGGAAAAGGAUCCAUCAUUAGGAUCUGUGCGCGCAAACUAGAAUAGCUGUCAUUCAGCCCCAUAAGGAACUGCAUUCCUUGUUCUUUCUGUUGGCAUUUCGUCCAAACGCGCAUUCCACCACAUGAACAAGCUGGGACAGGUAAGUAAUUGGUUAAUUCGUCCUACAAUGCUUUAAGCUUUGUGUAGUAAGUGUUAACAUCGAGACUGACUUGUGAGAAAUUCUGGAGAAAAUGUUUAAUAUGAUAGAUGCGUGGUUCAUUGCUUUGUCUGAAGCGGUCCCGAAGAUCAUUCUAGAUAGCUCUUGCAUUAUCGUGAAACAAGAGGCUGUCGGCGAUAUCUUUUGAUACAGCAUUUAGAAUCCAUGAAGCGAUCAUACUAUUGCAGCGCUUGCAAACUCCAGCCAAUGGAUCUGUUGCAUCCGGUUGAGGAAUUGACCCAUCAAUAAAUCCAAACUUAUGUUUUGCCGUGAAAGCCAUAACCAUGGCUCGGCUCCAAGUUGUGUAAUUUGGACCCGUGAGUAUAUGAGAGACAAGUAUAGCACCUGGAUGAUCGCUGCUGUGAAGAAAAUAGGGACUAUGAGGAUUAGUAUCACUCAUAACUGAUGUCGCAGCAGCAACUCGCUCAACAACAGGUGAUAUAAGCGGUGGAAAUUGUUAUGAGGAUGGUGGCAGACACUGCUGUGGAGAGGAUUGUCCUCCACGAGCCAUGCUUGAACUGGUGUGUAAUCGGUAGAAAAAUAAAGAUGAACAGAGUGUCGAGAUGAAGGAGGAAAUACAAAAGAGAAAUUCUGAUUUCUAAACCACGAGGAUGAACAGCGGAAGCUUUAUUACAGAUGCUUUUUGAAUUUGAAGAAAAAUUUUGGCAAAAGCUCUGAUACCACAUCAGAAGCAAGAUAGCCGAGAAGAAAAAAAAGAAAAAAACAAAAAAAUUGUUGUAUUCAUGUAUAUGUAUAAUGGAUUACAUGCUCAAUUUAUUUAUAGCAGAGUUGUUAAUUAGUUGCUAACAAAUUACAAACUAACUUCAACAAAUUGUAACUGAUUACAAACUAAUUAAUAACUAAUUCUAUUAUAACAAUUGAUUAAUUUUAAUUACUUAUUAUUUCUGUAUUAUAUAUGUAUGUAUAUUGUAGGAAGUGCUGCUAAUAUGGGGAGAUGAAGACAAGAUAUUCCCCUUGAGAAUGGCUGUUGAACUGAAGGA